AGUGAACGCUGGCGGUAGGCCUAACACAUGCAAGUCGCCCCGCAGCACAGGAGAGCUUGCUCUCUAGGUGGCGAGUGGCGGACGGGUGAGGAAUACAUCGGAAUCUGCCCAGUCGUGGGGGAUAACGUAGGGAAACUUACGCUAAUACCGCAUACGACCUUCGGGUGAAAGAGGGGGAUCGCAAGACCUCUCGCGAUUGGAUGAGCCGAUGUCGGAUUAGCUAGUUAGCGGGGUAAUGGCCCACCAAGGCGACGAUCCGUAGCUGGUCUGAGAGGAUGAUCAGCCACACUGGAACUGAGACACGGUCCAGACUCCUACGGGAGGCAGCAGUGGGGAAUAUUGGACAAAGGGCGCAAGCCUGAUCCAGCCAUACCGCGUGGGUGAAGAAGGCCUUCGGGUUGUAAAGCCCGUUUGUUGGGAAAGAAAUCUUUCAGGCUAAUACCCUGGGAGGAUGACGGUACCCAAAGAAUAAGCACCGGCUAACUUCGUG
rnacentral:rRNA from 1 species